rnacentral:tRNA from 1 species
GCCUGAGUGGCUCAGUUGGUUGAGCGUCUGACUUCAGCUCAGGUCAUGAUCUCACGGUUUGUGGGUUCGAGUCCCAUAUUGGGCU